rnacentral:rRNA from 1 species
UACGGAGGAUCCGAGCGUUAUCCGGAUUUAUUGGGUUUAAAGGGUGCGCAGGCGGGAGAUUAAGUCGGCGGUGAAAUUUUGCAGCUCAACUGUAAAAGUGCCUUCGAAACUGGUUUCCUUGAGUGUAGAUGAAGUAGGCGGAAUUUGUGGUGUAGCAGUGAAAUGCUUAGAUAUCACGAGGAACUCCGAUUGCGCAGGCAGCUUACUAAACUACUACUGACGCUCAGGCACGAAGGCGUGGGGAUCAAACAGGAUUAGAUACCCGCGUA